rnacentral:rRNA from 1 species
CCUACGGGAUGCAGCAGUGGGGAAUUUUGGACAAUGGGGGCAACCCUGAUCCAGCCAUGCCGCGUGUGUGAAGAAGGCCUUCGGGUUGUAAAGCACUUUCGGCCGGAACGAAAUCGCGCGAUCUAAUAAGUCGCGUGGAUGACGGUACCGGAAGAAGAAGCACCGGCUAACUACGUGCCAGCAGCCGCGGUAAUACGUAGGGUGCGAGCGUUGAUCGGAAUUACUGGGCGUAAAGUGUGCGCAGGUGGCCGCGCAAGUCGAGUGUGAAAUCCCCGAGCUUAACUUGGGAAUUGCGCUCGAAACUACGUGGCUCGAGUGGCAGAGGAAGGUGGAAUUCCACGUGUAGCGGUGAAAUGCGUAGAGAUGUGGAGGAACACCGAUGGCGAAGGCAGCCUUCUGGGCCAACACUGACGCUCAUGCACGAAAGCGUGGGGAGCAAACAGGAUUAGAUACCCUUGUAGUC